UACGGAGGGAGCUAGCGUUGUUCGGAAUUACUGGGCGUAAAGCGCGCGCAGGCGGUCUUCCAAGUCAGUGGUGAAAGCCCGGAGCUCAACUCCGGAACUGCCAUUGAAACUGUGAGACUUGAGGAUGAGAGAGGUGAGUGGAAUUCCCAGUGUAGAGGUGAAAUUCGUAGAUAUUGGGAAGAACACCGGUGGCGAAGGCGGCUCACUGGCUCAUUUCUGACGCUCAGGCGCGACAGCGUGGGGAUCAAACAGG
rnacentral:rRNA from 1 species